rnacentral:piRNA from 1 species
UACCAAGUGAGUUCCAGGACAACCAAAGU